UCUAUACACUAAAACUGCUUUAUUUAGCUAAAGUAAUUUAGGUGACUAUAGUGUUCCUUUAAUGAGCCGGGGUGCUCUAAUCCCAGCCUGUGAAUGUGGUGCCUGGAUAUUGUGAUGUCACGGAUGCUCCCUUUUUAUUAAUCCGUUUCUGCCUUAUUUAUUUUACUCCACAUAUAUUUUGCGUUUCUUCUAGCGCUCCAUAAUCAUGUAUCCGCUCUAUAAUGGCUCCGAUUCCCUUUUGUUAGAGCCGCAUCGUCCAAUUUGACUGGCUCUCACUUCAGAGGACUCGUUUUUGUAUGAAAUUUCUCUCCCAUCUUCCCUCCUCUUUGUCUAUGUAGCCAGUAGUUUAAUUCUAGAUUUCUUCUAAUUUACCAUGGCCAAGAACUCCUUUCCAAUAAUGUAGUGGAGAGGCAGUAUAAUCCACGAUAUCUCCGCUGGGUAACAGGAACAACAAAGGAUAAUCCAGGGGAAUCGGCAUGCAAUAAUCCAGGUAGCGUUGUAGUAACCUUUCCUUCCCAAGAACUAGACGACACAUAGGCUGGGAGUCAACUGAGGUCUUUAUUCACAGCUCCACAAUUUAUACAAGUCCCCAUGCAAGGGGUUUCCUGAGUCCUAUUCCAGGGGCAUUCCCAGAGUGGACUACAUGGGGAACUUAAUGUACAGAGCUUUUCUCC